GUGUAGCGGUGAAAUGCGUAGAGAUCUGGAGGAAUACCGGUGGCGAAAGCGGCCCCCUGGACGAAGACUGACGCUCAGGUGCGAAAGCGUGGGGAGCAAACAGGAUUAGAUACCCUGGUAGUCCACGCUGUAAACGAUGUCGAUUUGGAGGUUGUGCCCUUGAGGCGUGGCUUCCGGAGCUAACGCGUUAAAUCGACCGCCUGGGGAGUACGGCCGCAAGGUUAAAACUCAAAUGAAUUGACGGGGGCCCGCACAAGCGGUGGAGCAUGUGGUUUAAUUCGAUGCAACGCGAAGAACCUUACCUACUCUUGACAUCCAGAGAACUUUCCAGAGAUGGAUUGGUGCCUUCGGGAACUCUGAGACAGGUGCUGCAUGGCUGUCGUCAGCUCGUGUUGUGAAAUGUUGGGUUAAGUCCCGCAACGAGCGCAACCCUUAUCCUUUGUUGCCAGCGGUUCGGCCGGGAACUCAAAGGAGACUGCCAGUGAUAAACUGGAGGAAGGUGGGAUGACGUCAAGUCAUCAUGGCCCUUACGAGUAGGGCUACACACGUGCUACAAUGGCAUAUACAAAGAGAAGCGACCUCGCGAGAGCAAGCGGACCUCAUAAAGUAUGUCGUAGUCCGGAUUGGAGUCUGCAACUCGACUCCAUGAAGUCGGAAUCGCUAGUAAUCGUAGAUCAGAAUGCUACGGUGAAUACGUUCCCGGGCCUUGUACACACCGCC
rnacentral:rRNA from 1 species